rnacentral:rRNA from 1 species
AGGACGAACGCUGGCGGCGUGCUUAACACAUGCAAGUCGAACGGUGACGGAGAGCUUGCUCUCCUGAUCAGUGGCGAACGGGUGAGUAACACGUGGGCAACCUGCCCCAGACUUCGGGAUAACGCUUCGAAAGAGGUGCUAAUACCGGAUAUGAACUCCUUGGGCAUCCUUGGAGUUGGAAAGUUUUUCGGUCUGGGAUGGGCCCGCGGCCUAUCAGCUUGUUGGUGAGGUAACGGCUCACCAAGGCGACGACGGGUAGCCGGCCUGAGAGGGCGACCGGCCACACUGGGACUGAGACACGGCCCAGACUCCUACGGGAGGCAGCAGUGGGGAAUAUUGCGCAAUGGGCGAAAGCCUGACGCAGCAACGCCGCGUGAGGGAUGACGGCCUUCGGGUUGUAAACCUCUUUCAGCAGGGAAGAAGCGAAAGUGACGGUACCUGCAGAAGAAGCACCGGCUAACUACGUG